rnacentral:rRNA from 1 species
AUUGAACGCUGGCGGUAUGCCUAACACAUGCAAGUCGAGCGGUAACAGGCGUAGCAAUACGUGCUGACGAGCGGCGAACGGGUGAGUAAUGCUUUGGAAUCUUCCCAGUAGUGGGGAAUAACCAGUCGAAAGAUUGGCUAAUACCGCAUACGUCUGUGAAGGGAAAGCGGGGGAGUCGCAAGACCUCGCGCUAUUGGAUGAGCCAAAGUACGGAUUAGCUAGUUGGUGAGGUAAUGGCUCACCAAGGCGACGAUCCGUAGCUGGUCUGAGAGGACGACCAGCCACACCGGAACUGAGACACGGUCCCGACUCCUACGGGGGGCGAGCAGUGAGGAAUAUUCGGCAAUGGGGGCGAACCCUGACCGAGCAACGCCGCGUGGAGGAUGACGGUUUUCGGAUUGUAAACUACCUUUUCUUCAGGGAAGAGCGAGGACGGUACCGUGGGGAAGUAAGUCACGGCUAACUACGUG